CAUUGGUGAGAAUCCAAUACACUGAAAACCUAAGGGUUCCUCCGCAAGGUUUGUCCACGGAGCGUGGGUCUCGGCUUAAGAUCAGGCCGAAAGGCAUAGUCGAUGGAUAACGUGUGAAUAUUCAUAUAUUACUACGAAAUAAUGGGAUUGAGAAGUAGAUUUUCGAAUUCUAGUUUGCAUUUAGUUGUUCAAAAGACUUAAAAAAAGGAAUGUUGAAAGAAGAUUUCAUAUG
rnacentral:rRNA from 1 species